CAGAAGAGAAGACUUGGGGUUCAGAGCCGCCCCCCCUCUCCUGCAGUGGAAAUGGACUUCCCUCGGGUCCAGUACAGGACUUCCCACACAGGCGGGUGGGUGAGUGCCCUUGGCGUUGCCCUCAUUGAUCCGGCUGGACACCAGGUGAAGUGUACCAUUGGCAGAAAAACUAGGGUGAAUGAAGCCCAGAGAUGUGCCUGAUGAAAACAAGAAACAGAUAAUCUGGUGAGCAGCUGAGGCACAGACUACCUGGGCUCCCACUUAGAGGCUGAUAUAGGACUGAAGAAGCAGCUGCUCUGUCAAACCUAGAGGUCAUCUUUGCUUGCUGGGAAAAAGAAUCCUUACGAAGAGAAGUUGCUCCCUGGGGGAAGAAGAAGGCAACGAUUGCCACUCAAGAUGACUCUGUGUCCUGGAAGGAUGGCAGCCCUGGGCCACAGGGGGGCUGCCGAGUUGUUGGGCAGAGAUGGCUUGGGUGACCACAGAAGGGAAGAUCCCUUAAAUGGUGUGACUUUCAUGGCCCUUCCGUAAAGCUUUCGCAAACUGGCCAACGCGGUCAUUCUCUGCCGUGCUCUGAUCCUUUUCAAGUUGUUGAAGUCACUCAGCGGAUUAACAGGGCAUUGCCCUGGCUUUCUCAAAGGCACACGCACAGAACCGUUUAAUGCCAUUUUCAAGGGCACAAGGACAGAGAUCUGAGAGCCUUGCCAAUGAACACAGAAUAAAACCAUCACCACCACCAAACAGGAUAACACCUGAUGGGGGAACGCGUGCCUUCCCAUUGCCUCUGUCCUGCACGCUCUCUGCUGAAACUCCCUGCUUUCCAUUCCCACUUACUGGGUCCCGCACCUCAAACACGGAGGAGGGACUGUGGUAAGGAAAGGCCCACAUCACCUCUAACACAAACCCUCUCCCCAUAGGUACAUGCAUGCUCAUCUCAUUGCAUUUCCAGCCUCAACCCUGGUCAAGAGAACAACUCUUUUGUGAUCUUUGAAGUUACCUUGAUUUUUCAAAAAUUUAGGUAGAUCCAGUAAGGGGUGGGGGUAGAAAUUACUUGAUGUAGAAUAGCUGAUAGAUUAUUUGGUCAUAUUUACCAAAUGUCUUACCUGCUCUAUUAUCUGCUUUUUCAGAUGUGUGCUGUUUUUGAUUUUUAAUUGCUCUUAUUUACCAAAUGUCUUAUUCGUUAUAUUAUCUGUUUUCUCAGAUGUGUCCCCCCCCCCGCCUUUUUUUUAUUUCACUGCUAAGAGAGUCUAGCCUAACAAAAUGGGUGACUUGCUUAACAAUCCAAGAAGUGUCAAGCACCCUGUGCAGGUUAAGCUGGCAGAUUCCACGGCAGUGACUGGUAUUUAUAAGUUUUCAUCCCUGCAAUUGAUGAUUUUUAUAAGAACUUAAAGCAUUUGCCUUCAAAAGGAAAUUUUAAGGGCUGACUAUUUGAUAAAGAUCAAAUAUUUUGUUAUAGCAAAUGCUUUCAAAUAUUCAAAAGGACUCUCUCAGUAGUCCUGCCAUCAUCUUCUAAAAUCAAACAAGCAAACAAACACAUCUUUAGAAUCAUCUGUAACUUAAAGUUACAUUAGUGCAUCAAUUUCUGAAAAUACCCAUGUAGACAAAUAUACCUUAAAUGUCUAUGGGAGGAGAUAACAAUGGAAAAUAUUUCCCAAAAGUAUAGAGUCAAUGAUAGAGUGAAUGAAUAUAACAUAUUUUAUAAUAUAUUUGACUUUACAGUUUUGCAUUUUGGCAUUCUUCCCCCCUCCCCACCACUUGUGUGCCGGACAGAAAAAUAUUUUGGCUUUUCUAUUCUCUUCUAAGAAGGUCUGAGCAAUUUUACUUGUGGCCAAAUACAGAAUUAACUAGAAGUCUAUAAUAAUGCAGUUCACUGUACAGAUUGAGAUAUGCUAUGAGACAAAUCAUGUCCAACACAAAAUCAUAACUGCACAAACUACUUAGAGAGAAAGCCUUAAAUAGCAGAGUAUAUGCCUACAUCUAUUUGGUUUCCUCCUGAGGCUUUUACUUUGUUGAUGUGCUAGCCUGUUUGGGCCAACUACAUUAUCAUUUGAGUUUUAAUCACUCAUAAACUAUGUAUUUUUGAUAUAUAUGUGUGAAAAAAUAUAUAUAUAAUGAGUUUAUAGGUUCUUACAGAUCCUUUAGGCACCUUCAUGAGUUCUCACCAUCAGCUGUGUUUGUGUGUGGGUUCAGUUACCAAAGAGUUCAGAUUUCUCUUUCUCAAAGCUACAAAAAACGAAUUGUUCUUUCAGCCACAAUUAUUAAGAAAUAACUUUGGGAGUUCCCAUUGUGGCUCAGCCGUAAUGAACCCUACUAGUAUCCAUGAAGAUGUGCGCUUCAUCCCUGGCCCUGCUCAGUGGGUUAAGGAGCUGGUGUUGCCAUGAGCUGUGGUGCAGGUCGAAGACAUGGCUUGGAUCUGGCAUUGCUGUGGCUGUGGUAUAGGCUGGCAGCUGCAGCUCUGAUUUGACUCCUAGCUGGGAACUUCCAUAUGCCAUGGAUGCAGCCCUAAAAAAAAAA
rnacentral:lncRNA from 1 species